rnacentral:rRNA from 1 species
GUCCUGGCCCUAAACGAUGAAUGCUUGGUGUAGCGGGUAUCGAUCCCUGCUGUGCCGAAGUUAACGCGAUAAGCAUUCCGCCUGGGGAGUACGGUCGCAAGGCUGAAACUCAAAAGGAAUUGACGGGGGCCCGCACAAGCGGUGGAGCAUGUGGUUUAAUUCGACGCAACGCGAAGAACCUUACCCAGGCUCGAAAUGCAGAUGACCAAUCGGUGAAAAGCCGACUCCCGCAAAGGGCAACUGUAUAGGUGCUGCAUGGCUGUCGU